rnacentral:rRNA from 1 species
UACAGAGGGGGCAAGCGCUAUUCGGAAUUAUUGGGCGUAAAGGGCGCGUAGGCGGCUUUGCAAGUGACGGGUGAAAUCCCUCGGCUUAACCGAGGAACUGCCUGUCAGACUGCAUGGCUUGAGACCGGGAGAGGUGAGUGGAAUUCUCAGUGUAGCGGUGAAAUGCGUAGAUAUUGGGAGGAACACCAGUGGCGAAGGCGGCUCACUGGACCGGUACUGACGCUGAGGCGCGAAAGCCAGGGGAGCAAACGGG